rnacentral:rRNA from 1 species
GAUGAACGCUGGCGGUGUGCCUAAUACAUGCAAGUCGUACGCAUUCUCGUUUCUGAUUGACGGUGCUUGCACCUAAUUGACGAGACAUUGGAAUGAGUGGCGGACGGGUGAGUAACACGUGGGAACCUGCCCAGAAGCGGGGGAUAACAUUUGGAAACAGAUGCUAAUACCGCAUAAAAGUCAAAACCACAUGGUUUUGAUUUAAAAGAUGGCCUUUGUGCUAUCACUUCUGGAUGGACCCGCGGCGUAUUAGCUAGUUGGUAAGGUAAUGGCUUACCAAGGCAAUGAUAGGUAGCCGAACUGAGAGGUUGAUCGGCCACAAUGGGACUGAGACACGGCCCAUACUCCUACGGGAGGCAGCAGUAGGGAAUCUUCCACAAUGGGCGCAAGCCUGAUGGAGCAACACCGCGUGAGUGAAGAAGGGUUUCGGCUCGUAAAGCUCUGUUGUUAAAGAAGAGCGUAUCUAAGAGUAACUGCUUAGGUAGUGACGGUAUUUAACCAGAAAGCCACGGCUAACUACGUGCCAGCCGCCGCCGUAA